AUUUGCCGCUUUGCGCUGCGCUCAAAGUUCAAAUUAUUUCAACUUUGACCUAGUUGCCACUGACCUUUCGAAAGCGCAACCAAUGACAUAACAGCAUGUCGUUACCUAGCAACGGGAAAUAGCUUCCUUGCCACCCUUGAUGACAAAUUUGUGUGCUGCU